AUUUCUUUAGAAAGUUCAAAAUCAGCACACAGCUAGAGAUUGAUAGAGACAUAUAGGAUUUAAAGUCAAAGUGAAUCAUGUCUAUUGUAAAUUAGAUUAAUAAACUCUUCAACUGAUUAUGAAAAUAACUAAAUUAUUUUUCAGUUAAUAACAAACAUUUUGAAAAUACUUUGUCUUUGUUAUUACUUUUUGAAAAGUAUUUUUUAAACUGAAUGUCUGAGUGUUGAAGUGUUUCUCUCUCUGCUGGAGUUUGUGUUCACUCGAGUGGAAUAGAGGUUUUUGUACGAGUGUUUCAUGAGAUUGUAUCACUGUGUUACACAUUCGGUGGAGGAACUAAACUGGUGCUCGCUGGUCCCACAGUGAAGCCCUCAGUGUCUCUGCUGCCGCCCUCUUCUCUGCAGAUCUCUGGAGACUCAGCCGCACUGCUCUGCCUGCUCAGCUCUUACUCUCCACAGGGGGCGCUGGUGAGCUGGACACUGGACGGCUCAGAGGUCACCGAGGGGGUUGUGACCAGCGCAGAGAGCGAGCAGGACGGCGGCUACAGCCGCAGUAGUGUCCUGACCCUCAGCAAAGCACGCUGGGAAGCGGGAGAGCUGUACGUCUGCAGAGUAACACAUGAUGGAGCUCCUCAUGAGGCCUCGUUCCACAAGAGUCGCUGUUAGUCGCUCGCAGUGCUGAUGUUUCUCCAGUGAGCGCUGCUCUCUCCUGAAGAUGAGCGUAUCUGAGUGUCCUGUGUCAGGCAGGAUUCACAUGAGUCUAGUGCUGCAACUGUAGUCAUUUACAAACUCAAUACUGAAAGAGAGCUCUAGUGUCAAAGCACUGGCUGAUCUUUCAAUCUGCUGUGUUUGCUGCAACAUUCAAUAAAGCUUCUCAACAAAC